UUAAGCGACUAAGCGUACACGGUGGAUGCCCUGGCAGUCAGAGGCGAUGAAGGACGUGCUAAUCUGCGAAAAGCGUCGGUAAGGUGAUAUGAACCGUUAUAGCCGGCGAUGUCCGAAUGGGGAAACCCAGUGCAAUUCGUUGCACUAUCGUUAACUGAAUACAUAGGUUAACGAGGCGAACCGGGGGAACUGAAACAUCUAAGUACCCCGAGGAAAAGAAAUCAACCGAGAUUCCCCCAGUAGCGGCGAGCGAACGGGGAGCAGCCCAGAGUCUGAAUCAGCUUGUGUGUUAGUGGAACGGUCUGGAAAGUCCGACGGUACAGGGUGAUAGUCCCGUACACCAAAAUGCACAGGCUGUGAACUCGAAGAGUAGGGCGGGACACGUGGUAUCCUGUCUGAAUAUGGGGGGACCAUCCUCCAAGGCUAAAUACUCCUGACUGACCGAUAGUGAACCAGUACCGUGAGGGAAAGGCGAAAAGAACCCCGGCGAGGGGAGUGAAAAAGAACCUGAAACCGUGUACGUACAAGCAGUGGGAGCACCUUCGGGUGUGACUGCGUACCUUUUGUAUAAUGGGUCAGCGACUUAUAUUCUGUAGCAAGGUUAACCGUAUAGGGGAGCCGCAGGGAAACCGAGUCUUAACUGGGCGUUAAGUUGCAGGGUAUAGACCCGAAACCCGGUGAUCUAGCCAUGGGCAGGUUGAAGGUUGGGUAACACUAACUGGAGGACCGAACCGACUAAUGUUGAAAAAUUAGCGGAUGACUUGUGGCUGGGGGUGAAAGGCCAAUCAAACCGGGAGAUAGCUGGUUCUCCCCGAAAGCUAUUUAGGUAGCGCCUCGUGAACUCAUCUUCGGGGGUAGAGCACUGUUUCGGCUAGGGGGUCAUCCCGACUUACCAACCCGAUGCAAACUACGAAUACCGAAGAAUGUUAUCACGGGAGACACACGGCGGGUGCUAACGUCCGUCGUGAAGAGGGAAACAACCCAGACCGCCAGCUAAGGUCCCAAAGUCAUGGUUAAGUGGGAAACGAUGUGGGAAGGCACAGACAGCCAGGAUGUUGGCUUAGAAGCAGCCAUCAUUUAAAGAAAGCGUAAUAGCUCACUGGUCGAGUCGGCCUGCGCGGAAGAUGUAACGGGGCUAAACCAUGCACCGAAGCUGCGGCAGCGACGCUCAGGCGUUGUUGGGUAGGGGAGCGUUCUGUAAGCCUGCGAAGGUGGCCUGUGAGGGCUGCUGGAGGUAUCAGAAGUGCGAAUGCUGACAUAAGUAACGAUAAAGCGGGUGAAAAGCCCGCUCGCCGGAAGACCAAGGGUUCCUGUCCAACGUUAAUCGGGGCAGGGUGAGUCGACCCCUAAGGCGAGGCCGAAAGGCGUAGUCGAUGGGAAACAGGUUAAUAUUCCUGUACUUGGUGUUACUGCGAAGGGGGGACGGAGAAGGCUAUGUUAGCCGGGCGACGGUUGUCCCGGUUUAAGCAUGUAGGCUGGUUAUCCAGGCAAAUCCGGAUAAUCAAGGCUGAGGUGUGAUGACGAGGCACUACGGUGCUGAAGUAACAAAUGCCCUGCUUCCAGGAAAAGCCUCUAAGCAUCAGGUAACAUCAAAUCGUACCCCAAACCGACACAGGUGGUCAGGUAGAGAAUACCAAGGCGCUUGAGAGAACUCGGGUGAAGGAACUAGGCAAAAUGGUGCCGUAACUUCGGGAGAAGGCACGCUGGUGUGUAGGUGAAGUCCCUGCGGAUGGAGCUGAGACCAGUCGAAGAUACCAGCUGGCUGCAACUGUUUAUUAAAAACACAGCACUGUGCAAACACGAAAGUGGACGUAUACGGUGUGACGCCUGCCCGGUGCCGGAAGGUUAAUUGAUGGGGUUAUCCGUAAGGAGAAGCUCUUGAUCGAAGCCCCGGUAAACGGCGGCCGUAACUAUAACGGUCCUAAGGUAGCGAAAUUCCUUGUCGGGUAAGUUCCGACCUGCACGAAUGGCGUAAUGAUGGCCAGGCUGUCUCCACCCGAGACUCAGUGAAAUUGAACUCGCUGUGAAGAUGCAGUGUACCCGCGGCAAGACGGAAAGACCCCGUGAACCUUUACUAUAGCUUGACACUGAACAUUGAGCCUUGAUGUGUAGGAUAGGUGGGAGGCUUUGAAGCGUGGACGCCAGUCUGCGUGGAGCCAACCUUGAAAUACCACCCUUUAAUGUUUGAUGUUCUAACGUGGGCCCCUAAUCGGGGUUGCGGACAGUGUCUGGUGGGUAGUUUGACUGGGGCGGUCUCCUCCCAAAGCGUAACGGAGGAGCACGAAGGUUAGCUAAUCCUGGUCGGACAUCAGGAGGUUAGUGCAAUGGCAUAAGCUAGCUUGACUGCGAGCGUGACGGCGCGAGCAGGUGCGAAAGCAGGUCAUAGUGAUCCGGUGGUUCUGAAUGGAAGGGCCAUCGCUCAACGGAUAAAAGGUACUCCGGGGAUAACAGGCUGAUACCGCCCAAGAGUUCAUAUCGACGGCGGUGUUUGGCACCUCGAUGUCGGCUCAUCACAUCCUGGGGCUGAAGUAGGUCCCAAGGGUAUGGCUGUUCGCCAUUUAAAGUGGUACGCGAGCUGGGUUUAGAACGUCGUGAGACAGUUCGGUCCCUAUCUGCCGUGGGCGCUGGAGAAUUGAGGGGGGCUGCUCCUAGUACGAGAGGACCGGAGUGGACGCAUCACUGGUGUUCGGGUUGUCAUGCCAAUGGCACUGCCCGGUAGCUAAAUGCGGAAGAGAUAAGUGCUGAAAGCAUCUAAGCACGAAACUUGCCCCGAGAUGAGUUCUCCCUGAGACUUUAAGUCUCCUGAAGGAACGUUGAAGACGACGACGUUGAUAGGCCGGGUGUGUAAGCGCAGCGAUGCGUUGAGCUAACCGGUACUAAUGAACCGUGAGGCUUAACCU
rnacentral:rRNA from 1 species